CCCCAGUAGCGGCGAGUGAAGCGGCAAGAGCUCAGAUUUGAAAUCGUGUUUCGGCACGAGUUGUAGAGUGUAGGCGGGAGUCUCUGUGGAGCGCGGUGUCCAAGUCCCUUGGAACAGGGUGCCUGAGAGGGUGAGAGCCCCGUAGGGUGCUGCGCGAAGCUUUUGAGGCCCUGCUGACGAGUCGAGUUGUUUGGGAAUGCAGCUCCAAGCGGGUGGUAAAUUCCAUCUAAGGCUAAAUAUUGGCGAGAGACCGAUAGCGAACAAGUACUGUGAAGGAAAGAUGAAAAGCACUUUGAAAAGAGAGUGAAACAGCACGUGAAAUUGUUGAAAGGGAAGGGUAUUGGGCUCGACAUGGGGGGUGCGCACCGCUGUCUCUUGUAGGCGGCGCUCUGGGCGCCCUCUGGGCCAGCAUCGGUUCCUGCUGCGGGAGAAGGGGCUCCGGAAAGUGGCUCUUCGGAGUGUUAUAGCCGGGGCCAGAUGCCGCGUGUGGGGACCGAGGACUGCGGCUUCUGUCUCGGAUGCUGGCAU
rnacentral:rRNA from 1 species